rnacentral:rRNA from 1 species
CCUACGGGUGGCAGCAGUGAGGAAUAUUGGUCAAUGGCCGUGAGGCUGAACCAGCCAAGUAGCGUGAAGGAUGACUGCCCUAUGGGUUGUAAACUUCUUUUAUAUGGGGAUAAAGUGCUCCACGUGUGGAUGUUUGCAUGUACCUUAUGAAUAAGGAUCGGCUAACUCCGUGCCAGCAGCCGCGGUAAUACGGAGGAUCCGAGCGUUAUCCGGAUUUAUUGGGUUUAAAGGGAGCGUAGGCGGGUUGUUAAGUCAGUUGUGAAAGUUUGCGGCUCAACCGUAAAAGUGCAGUUGAAACUGGCAGCAUUGAGUACAGUAGAGGUAGGCGGAAUUCGUGGUGUAGCGGUGAAAUGCUUAGAUAUCACGAAGAACUCCGAUUGCGAAGGCAGCCUGCUGGACUGUAACUGACGCUGAAGCUCGAAAGUGUGGGUAUCAAACAGGAUUAGAUACCCUAGUAGUC